GUCUAUAUAUACCCUGUAGAACCGAAUUUGUGUGGUAUCCACAUAGUCACAGAUUCGAUUCUAGGGGAAUAUAUGGUCGA